rnacentral:rRNA from 1 species
GACGAACGCUGGCGGCGUGCUUAACACAUGCAAGUCGAACGGAAAGGCCCUGCUUUUGUGGGGUGCUCGAGUGGCGAACGGGUGAGUAACACGUGAGUAACCUGCCCUCGACUUUGGGAUAACUUCAGGAAACUGGGGCUAAUACCGGAUAGGAGCUCCUGCUGCAUGGUGGGGUUGGAAAGUUUCGGCGGUUGGGGAUGGACUCGCGGCUUAUCAGCUUGUUGGUGGGGUAGUGGCUUACCAAGGCUUUGACGGGUAGCCGGCCUGAGAGGGUGACCGGCCACAUUGGGACUGAGAUACGGCCCAGACUCCUACGGGAGGCAGCAGUGGGGAAUAUUGCACAAUGGGCGGAAGCCUGAUGCAGCAACGCCGCGUGCGGGAUGACGGCCUUCGGGUUGUAAACCGCUUUCGCCUGUGACGAAGCGUGAGUGACGGUAAUGGGUAAAGAAGCACCGGCUAACUACGUG